rnacentral:misc_RNA from 1 species
UCCCCCCACUUUCUCCUCCUUAAAAACAAAAACCUUUCCAAAAAUCACAUAUUUUUAAAUUUUUAUAAUAAAUUAAUUAUUGUUCAGAAGGCCAGAAACAUUUACACUCCAACCACGAGACGAGCCUAAGAAAUGGCGCUGCAAGCCUUUCGCAUUAGUCUCAAAAGAUGGCCAGAAUUUGAUGGAGCUCUGCACUGUGCACCGCAACACUAACAGCCAAGUGCCCCCCAUUCUUUAUUUACGAUAUUUAAAAUCCAGCUAGUAGGAGACAUGCCCAACCAAUCAUUCAGAGGUUAAAACAUGUUGAAAACACAUACAACUCUUCUAUUAAUCAAAUUCAUGAACCUAAGAGUUUCCAAAAUAUAAAUAUAUAAAGAUCAAAAAGCAUAUUCAUACUAAAUAAGAGAGAAAAUCCAACUCAAAAUAAAUUAAUAACCACAUUCACGAAUUUUAAAACAAUCUACUACCAAACACAUUCAAAUAAUUAAGCAAAAGCAGUAGACAGGAUAAAAAGACAAAAAGGUCAAGGUGUUUGAAAGCGAGAACCAUGGGGCAAUAUGUAAUUUCAACAUGCAAAAUCCAUUUGGUUUUCCUGUUCCUUUGAUAACUCACUAGCGUAUAGACACGCCGCUAUCUAGAGCAAACCUUGGUGUCCCCAGUAGCGGAAGUUCCCAUAAAUUCCUUUACCCGUUUGACUGCAAUAGGAGCAGGUUAGUCUAGAAUGCGAUGAUUGUGAUACACAAGAUAUAACUAGAAAACGUUCAACUCACUCACACCAGAGUCACUAGAUAGGACAGAAUGCUUGCUGGACUCUUUAAAAGAUUUGUAAUCAGACACACACAAGCCGAACAAAUUCACAAAGCAAAGAAUUUAAGUUAAACAGGAGAACUUGAAUUCAAAAACAACCAAGAUUUAGGAAAAGAUUUUAGGUUACAACUCUGCUGCACCUCAAGCCUAAGAUUUUAGGCUACCAGUUUCAUGCCUCCAGAUACCAUGCCUUAGAAGCAGUCAAGUAGGCUUCGUACUCUUAUUAAUGAGGAUGGUAUGUAUUUCUAUCUUUGACGCAGAACCUACCACAAGAUAAAAAUGACCUCAGGCAUUUGAAAACAGGAUGAAAUAAUAAUUGAUCAAAUAUAACCUGCCUGCUCAAGGACUAUAGAUUAAAAAACUCAGUCAAGAAUCCAUACCUCACAACAAUAUUAGGAAGCUUUGCACCAGACUCCAAGAUUAUAGGAAAGCAAAAACUUGAUGCAGAUGAUGCGGAUCUUAAAUAAGACCAAGUGGAAAAGGCUAACACCCAACUGAAAAAUAAGCAGCUCUAUUUAAUGGUAUGCACCACAAAAAGGUGUAGGAAGACUAUUUUCCAAAAUUAUAGAACCCAGGCUAUAUACACGUCAAAUUGCAAUAUGAACAGUGAUCGGCAAGACAUCCAUGUGCUCUAUCUAGUUAACCGCCAACAACGGACUGAUAUAGCUAUAGAAACAAUGAAAAACAACAUAAAAGAUACAACAGAACUCUUGCAAAGAAAAAUUCAACAGACCACAGUUCUGGUAAUAAGCCAUGUACGACACAUACUGCACAGAGUUAUCCUUCCCCAGUUGCAACAAGUUGAUGUUUAUACAGCUACCACCAAAAAGUCUUCAUCGCCACUCAAGAUGAAAAAUGUACUCAACAGCUUUCCUUUUAAGAGCAACAACGUCUAGACAGUCCCCCAGUAACGUGUAGGAACCAUAAAGGCUUUUUGCUCCAUACAAGUGUUUCUGCAACAGAGGUGAAGAGGAGAAUAUAGCUAAUUGGUGCAAGGGAAAAGGAAUCAAACCAUGACGCCCAAAGAUGCAUCAAGUACGGACAUCUUAAAGAACAUACAAAUCGAGGCUCAUGACUUGAAUUUUGACAAAAUCACAUCUGUAAAUUCAACCAACAGCAACAAUAAGCUCUACAGCACAUCACAGAAACUGGCCUUAAGAACUCGCAGAUGAAGAUGCAUCCUACAUGCAUCCCUUUGUAAAUUUUGCUUAACCACAAUCUCCAUGAGAAAGCAGAAAUGCCCAAAUAACAUUCUCAUGCCACGACCCAGUAACACUUCAAUUGUGCCCAAAGAAAAGCCGAAUCCAGCACCACUUGAAGCAGGUCAUCAAGAACCAAUAGUUACCACUAAAUUUAGGUGCAUCGUGGCACCACGAGUUGAUACACUACAUACAACAACAGUACACUCUAUACCAGGUGUAACAACCACUAAAGAUACAUUAGAUACAUGCUUAACAUUCUGGAACAGGAAACCAACCCCAUCUCUCCAACAAAAAUCAUUAACAUGGAAAAAAAAAAAAAGAUUUAGCAAC